UGAAUACUCUCUUCGUAUGGAAUUAUUUGUCAUACGAAUGGAUAAAAACGAAUGUAUCUAGAACAAAAAUACAUCUAGAUACAUCCAUUCCUAUGACAAAUAUUUUCGGACGAUCGAAGUAUUAG
rfam:Hordeum vulgare subsp. vulgare, WGS project CAJW01000000 data, contig: morex_contig_1610390